CAGAGAAUUACUUGUCACCUGUGGUGUGUUCCUUAAACAGAAGCACCAAAACCUGAAAGAAAACAAAACAAAACAAAACAAAAACCUGAAAAGAAUUCUUCAAAGUAAGCUUUUAAGAAAAGAAUCAUAUGCCCUGAUUUCUAAGAUUUGCAUCCAUAUGAAACAAUACAUCUUAUAUCUUCUGAAAUGCAGACAUCAUUGCCAAGGUAUUCCACGAUGCUGUGUGCUCUGGUCUUCUUGAGAAUUCAUACAGGAAUAAAGAAAAGGUCACAAAAUCCUGAGAAAAAAAUUCGUGGUUUCAAUCAUCAG
rnacentral:lncRNA from 1 species